AUUGAACGCUGGCGGCAGGCCUAACACAUGCAAGUCGAGCGGCAGCGGAAAGUAGCUUGCUACUUUGCCGGCGAGCGGCGGACGGGUGAGUAAUGUCUGGGAAACUGCCUGAUGGAGGGGGAUAACUACUGGAAACGGUGGCUAAUACCGCAUAACGUCGCAAGACCAAAGUGGGGGACCUUCGGGCCUCACGCCAUCGGAUGUGCCCAGAUGGGAUUAGCUAGUAGGUGGGGUAAUGGCUCACCUAGGCGACGAUCCCUAGCUGGUCUGAGAGGAUGACCAGCCACACUGGAACUGAGACACGGUCCAGACUCCUACGGGAGGCAGCAGUGGGGAAUAUUGCACAAUGGGCGCAAGCCUGAUGCAGCCAUGCCGCGUGUGUGAAGAAGGCCUUCGGGUUGUAAAGCACUUUCAGCGAGGAGGAAGGCAUCAUACUUAAUACGUGUGGUGAUUGACGUUACUCGCAGAAGAAGCACCGGCUAACUCCGUGCCAGCAGCCGCGGUAAUACGGAGGGUGCAAGCGUUAAUCGGAAUUACUGGGCGUAAAGCGCACGCAGGCGGUUUGUUAAGUCANAUGUGAAAUCCCCGCGCUUAACGUGGGAACUGCAUUUGAAACUGGCAAGCUAGAGUCUUGUAGAGGGGGGUAGAAUUNC
rnacentral:rRNA from 1 species